GGUAGGACCAGGAUGAAUGCAUGGACACCUUCAGGAUCACAGAGGGAGACACACCUGAGUGAUUCCUCCAUCACUGUCUCCAGAGGUUUUCCACACAGAGCAGGAAGCUCCACCAGGGAAACCCAACGUCCACACACCUCUCCCUGAUGUUUAACACACUCUGAUGAGCUGGAGGCUGAAUGAAGACCUGUCUGACCUAAAAUGAACUUUGCUGCUGAAGUCUUCCCUGCUCCUCUCCUCCCACACAGGACCAGGUUUAAAGCUGGUUUCAUGUGUUCAGUCUUCAGAGUGAUCAACUCUUCAGUGAGGGUGACCUCACAGUUUCUGGCUCGUUUGGUUUGAGGGUGUUUUCCAUGAUGACCAGUUUGAUCAUGCAUGAUGAUGAAGUUGGACAUUUUUUUCUUUCUGUCGUCACUUUUUCCCAGCAGGAUAAUCUUGAAUCCAGAUUCUGAAACACAGCAGAGAAAAUAAAAUACCAUAAAGUUAUAACUAGAAUGACGUCACUCAGUUUUGUUGAUGUGGGAGGAUCUACAGGCAGGUUAAUGUUCAAUUCCAAGUCUAAACAUUAUGUGGAAUAAAAUGUGUUUAUAAGCA